AAGAUUGCAAUGAAUGGGAAUAGUAAACCGUACAUAAGUCCAUAGAGAGCUGUCAGUUGGUGAAAGACAGCGUCUUUGAAGGUUGAAGCUCGCCCUGGAGCAUUUUUAGCUGAAAGAAGUAGGCUGAAACGGCUAUCACCGUUAUAUGAUAUAAAGAGAAUUUCUUAUAAAGGAAUUAAAUUGAGUGGUACCGCGGAAAGAUAACUUUUCGUCUCAUGA
rnacentral:ncRNA from 1 species